CUUCCUUGGAAAAGGACCUUGAAGAUAGAUUUUUUUCCUCUCCAAAUUCUCUGAAGACUGAAGUUCCUUAAGGACGAAGAAAACACUUGCCUCUCUUCCAGCAACUUUUCCUGAUGCUCUGAGGAACAUUUCUUCUGGAGCCUCCAGAAUUGAAGGGCGGACUAAUUCCCUGAAGAAAAUGAAUGGAUGUGGGCCCAGGGGAGCCACAUUUUUUCUCAGCUCUAUGGCAAGCAAGCACCAAGGAUCCAAGGAUCAGGCUUAAAGCUCAAUCAAGCCUCAAGCCACAUACUGAGCAGAUGGAGGCUUCAGGUUUGCCUGGUUUAAGAGACUUCCUCCAAACGCCUUGACUGAUAGCCCUCCACCAAAAUGGUUCCUGAUCAGGGUGCUUGGGUGGCUCGGUUGUUAAGUGUCUGCCUUU